AAAAAGAUAAACCCUGGGUUUCCGUGUUCAACGUUUGAUUGUCUGUCUUAUAUGAAAUUUUUUUAUAAUUAGUAUUUUUAUUGUUGUUAGAUGAUAAAACAUAAUUAAUACUUUAUACGUGACUUAUUUUUUUAAUUUUUUUUAUUAUUUUUUUCAAAUAAGACGGGCGGUCAAAUGUUGGACACGGAAACCCAAG
rnacentral:pre_miRNA from 1 species